CCUCUCUCUCUAAUAGCUACGAGUUCUCGUGCUUUGUUGAUUCCUUCUGAAAAGGGCUGAGCUGGGAGCAUUUUCUUGGCCCUAAAGAUUGUUCUCAGCAAGCGUCAAAGUUUCACUCUGCUCGUGAGUCGAUUCAUCUUAGUGCCGUUCAACAAUUCUUUUCGUUCUUGACUCGCUCGAGACGCCUCCUCAUCAGUGUGGAGCUCCUUCUCUUGCUUCGCCACUCCAACUUCACACCUCUCCGAUCGCUCGCGUGUUCAGCUAAACGGGGAUUUUUAGUGACGCAGCUUGAGACGCCUCCUAAUCUGUCCGAUUUUGCACGAAAAAUGGGAUCACCGGCUAUUCUCUAUAUCCAAUUCUCCCUCUUCUCUCUAAUCAGUGUCCGCAAUGUGGCAAAGGAGGAUCAAGUAAGAAAUCCAUAAUUGACAGCAUUUUGUAUGCCUUCACCACGCCUCAACCCGGUUCGUGAAUCGGUCAGCUCGCUCCCUUGCGCCACUCCACUUAACUCGCUCUCUCCUCUCCCCCCUCUCUUCUUCUAUAACUAGAAGAACCUAUCACCAAUUCAUCGCUUUCCUUUUACAAUCCAACCAAUCACUUGUUUUCUCAUAGCCAUAUACUACUAAGAUAUGUCUGACCCCAACCCUAAUAUCGCCAAGGACGGCGGGAGGGAGGACAAUGGCAAUGAUGAGCGAUCCAGUAAACUUCUCGAGGACCUGGUCGUUCUCACCUACGACACGUGCCAGGUUCACCUAUUAGGGACCACACAUAGGACUGAGAUGAGUGUUGUGAAAGUUCGACCUUUAAAUCCUAAUUUGUGAGGUAUAAUCUAUGCACAUCUAAUGUUUGUGCCGUGGUUUUUGUUGCAGAAACCCGUCAACUGGUAAAAGACAUUAUCAGAAAGCUAAAAC